rnacentral:lncRNA from 1 species
UUCUUGAGUAAUUCUUUAAUUGUUGCUCAACUGUUGUUUAAAAUAGCACUUUUCUCUCUCUCUUUCACAAAUGUAUUAUGAUAUAUCCAGAAAGUCUUGCAGAGAUUAUGUAAUUACCAAGAUCACUUUUGGGUGCUAGAAGACUAACAUGCUUUGCAAAAGGGGCUGGAGGUCGUGCAAAGUCACACAUCUGAUUCCAAUGAAGAAAAAUCGACACUAUGUAACUCACGGCUGUGAUUGGAAUUCCCUGGGCCUGUCACGAGAAGAAAUGUUGGCCAAGUCUAGGUAGCUAAGUUGAACGACACUUCCACAAAGGUCCACCUGUACGCUGCAUGGGAGAAUCAACUGUAGGUAAUCCAAGUGACAAGUGCAUGCAAUAAAGAUGGCCCAAGAGGAACGUUGCAGGGGCUGACAGUGAUGGACUUGCUGGAGAAGACGUAAUAGCUGAAUCUCAGGACAGCACCUCUGUCCCACAUCAGUGACCAUGAGGCCAAGUUUGCCUUACUGCAUUCUCCAAGUCCUUCCACUCUCUUCACAUUAAAGUCCACUUGUCAGCCUGCUUGACAAAACCACUACCUGUGCAGAUGUCUCCUGGCCCUCUUCACGUCACCGUGUUGGAAAUGGGGCUCAGGGAACCAGCACAAGAAAAUGCUGAUACUCUGGCUACUGCUAUUGCUGUGAAUAAU